rnacentral:rRNA from 1 species
UACAGAGGUCUCAAGCGUUGUUCGGAUUCAUUGGGCGUAAAGGGUGCGUAGGUGGCAUGGUCAGUCGGAUGUGAAAUCCCGGGGCUCAACCCCGGAACUGCAUUCGAUACUGCCGCGCUAGAGUACUGGAGAGGAGAUUGGAAUUUACGGUGUAGCAGUGAAAUGCGUAGAUAUCGUAAGGAAGACCAGUGGCGAAGGCGGGUCUCUGGGCCGAUACUGACGCUGAGGAGCGAAAGCGUGGGGAGCGAACAGG